UGCUUUCUUCCCAUCUUCUCAAAAGAGAUACACGGGCACACAGAAAGAGACGGGAGAAAAGAGAUGCGAAAGAAAGCAGAGAGAGAUCAGGAGCCGGCGAAUCUCCGGCAACCGGCCCUACGCGUGCUCGCCUCCCACCCACAGAAACGAAGUAAGUCAUCGAGUCUACGUUUCCCGGCUAGGGUUCCGACCAAGUUCUGGCAAUUUCCGGUUAGCCUUUUUAUCUUGCAUGUUGGCUAUUUGGUUAGAUCGGUUGUCCAUGAACCUUAAUCUGACGAGUCAUGCUGAUCUGUGGAGUAGGUUACCUCCGGUGAGGUCCCGGCGAGGUUCCGGUGAGGUACCGGAGAAGAUUUCGGUGUUGCUCGGAUUGGGUAGUCUAGAGAGAGAGAGAGAGAGAGAGAGAGGUGGUGGCUGUUCAGAUUCUAGAGCUCGAUGCCUCGAUGUAUAAGUCGGGCGACUAUUUCGACGGAGAGAAGUUCGUCGGCGGCGGAUGCGAACAUGUUCUAAAUCAGUGUAGUGUCGUGCUCCGUCGAUGACACCGAUAUCUGUCAUAUCUUCAACCCUAACAUCAUCUUCUUAAUCCUCCCUUCCCCGUCGCUCCACCUCCGCCGGAUCGGCAUUACGCGCGCCGCCUCCAACAACCACUACGCUGCGCUGUUCUCGGUGUAUCAGCAGGCGCUUUAACUUCGGAUAUCAAGAGAUCGUAUCGUCUACUGGCUUGAAAGGGAAAGAUGUUGUGUAAUGACUGCCAUAUCACGCUCCUUCCAUGCUACUUGAAAAGCAUGUAUCAACAAAGAGAAUUGUAUAUGAGUGCUAAGGAAAAGUUGAAAGUUACAGCAAGUUACAAGCACCUGCUUCUGCUCAAUUCAGAUACUAAAUCCACGGCGUGUUGGGUACCUUACACAACAAGAAACUUCGCAACUACAUUUAAAAAGAAGCAGUUGAAGAUGGUUCUAUAGAUUAUUAUAGCCGCUAGCAAGUCUUUGGUUAUUCAUUAAAGGUUGUUCUAUACAGCUCAAGGGUAUAUAGAUGCUAACCCUGAAAUUCUUUUGUUCCCCACUAAAUGGAUCCAGCAAGUUCAACUCCCACUUGGUGCAGAGUGAGGCACUGGUGCGUAAUGAUAGGAGACCCAGGGAAACCUGGGCUGGAUCCUUGAGCCAAACGGGUUUUACCGGUAAUUUCACCGUCGUGCCUACGGGCGGGUGGGUUACCGGGUUUUCCCCGGAAUUGGUGGUGGACUCGGGUUACUCUCGGAGUACUCCGUUUGUCCAGUGGGUACCCCGAGAGUGAUCGGGAUUGAUUCUGUUGCCCGUUCAAAAAAAAUGGAUCCAGCAAGGUUUUGCAUUCAGAGAGCCUUCUUAAACCACCGGAAGCUUAAGUGCUUCUGAUGUAUGUAGAUAUCAUUUUCUUCAAUUUUCCAGUUAUUUUUUUUGUUUUUUGUUUCAUUUAUGUAUUCCCUUACAGGAGACAAAUCCUUUGCUAACCUAAAGACAAGUGUGAUCUUUAUAUAUGAUGUUGCAUCUUUUAUGAUGAAUUUUCAGAUGAUUCAUGUUGAAGAGACUAAUGGAGAAGCCAACUUUAUGGAUUCCAGCUUAUCUAUCUUAAAGAAUGCAGUUUGAACUUAAAUGAAUUAAUGGACUCAAAGUUGGAUAGCCACCAGAUCAAUUUUAAUCUUGAGAUGGAAUUAAAGCCACAAGCACAACCACUGUGUGUGUGACUUAACACGGGUAUGGUAUGCACAAGGCUUUGUAUAGUUAAUGGGCCAUUUGAAGUACCGCACAGAUUCAAUAUUUAUGUACUUUUGUGAAAUGUAGCAGUUUUUGGGAUCUUGGGAGUUUUUUAUGGAUAGAAUACCUCCGACAAGAAAAAAAAAACGCGUUAAACUAAAGCCGUCAUUUCUUCUCUUGGUUUUACAAUUACGGAGUUCAAUGUCCGUUCGUAGUAACCAAACCUAGAAAUCUAGAAAUGAAGCAUGAUAAAGAUUUUAGCAUGAAGACACCGAACGUGAUAAAGAUUAAACAAUGCUUUUGUAAUCAUAUAUGUUAACCGCAAUGUAAGUCGCGCGACAGUGGAUAACCCUAGUUUUCCUUCAAAUGCAUCUACUGAGCCACCAAGUGCCAAAGUUUUCCCUCACAUAAUUUUUCUUGAUAACUCUGUUAGGCUAGACGGUAUGGGGACCGUCCAGCACCGGCGACGACGAACACACCGUGCCGCCCCCCCCCGUUUGAGACGGGCCGGAAAAGACAAAAAAAUGUGGGGACCGAGGAACAAUAUGACCGUUAGAAUAAAAAAAAUCAAAUUCACUUUUUCAUUUAUUAACCAACGGCAAUUUUUUAAAAUUAUAUCAAAUUCACUCCAAAUUUUAUAAAUACUCACCACUUUUACAUCAUUUUUCAUACCUUUUCACCCACUACAAUCUCAUAUCUCUCUCACAUUUUAUAAACACUCUUCCCUUUUUAUAUAAACUCAACAUUUUUAUACCAUUUUUUACCCACUACCACCCCAUCUCUCUCUCAAAAUUUACCACAGGGUUCACCUUCUUCCAUUUCUUCAUCUUCUUCGUCUACGUGAUAUUCAUCAUCUUCGGAAGAGAAUGACGCAUUUAUGGAAAACUAAUUACGUACGCGGCUCAGGUCUUCAUGGCAGGUGAUGAAGCGUCGUCCCAACGGCUAACUAGACGAGCAAAAUUAAACCGAGACAAAGAAGCCGCCCACGAUAAACUAGUGGUCGAUUAUUUUGCCGACGAACCCGUGUACACAGACGAGAUGUUUCGACGUCGGUUCCGCAUGAGUCGUCGACUUUUUUUACGUAUCGCAGGCGACAUGGCCCAGUCUGAUCCGUUUUUUACACUGCGAUACGACGCUAGGGGGCAAAGGGGUUUCACUAAUUUACAAAAAUGUACGUCGGCCAUUCUCCAACUGGCAUAUGGUUACGCACCCGAUGCAUUAGACGAGUAUUUAAGGAUGUCCGAAAGAACCGCAU